GCGCCGCUAGCUCAGUUGGUUAGAGCAGCUGACUCUUAAUCAGCGGGUCCGGGGUUCGAGUCCCUGGCGGCGC
rnacentral:tRNA from 1 species